GGUCCCUGCUUUCCUGAAGAACAGUGACACAGCUUUGGCUGUGUUAGGUGCUGCCCACCAGAGAUGUCCAAGUUAGGCUGUGCCAAGGUUUUCAUAGAUGUUUCAGAGCAGGAGACAUCCUGCUGCAUUCUGGUAGAGGACUGUCAGAGUGGGAAGAGCCAGACUUGAGAAAAAUUGCUGCUUAUCUUCCAUUUCCCAAGAUGCUGAAGCCCAACACCCCAAACUGUCAUUACUGCC